rnacentral:tRNA from 1 species
GGGGGGUUAGUUUAAUGGAUAAAACAUCGAUCUUCUAAAUCGUCGUUGUUGGUUCGAUUCCAGCACUCCCUG